CCUACGUGUGGCAGCAGUGAGGAAUAUUGGUCAAUGGACGAGAGUCUGAACCAGCCAAGUAGCGUGAAGGAUAAUUGCCUUAUGGGUUGUAAACUUCUUUUAUAAAGGAAUAAAACGAGGCACGUGUGCCUUUUUGCAUGUACUUUAUGAAAAAGGAUCGGCGAACUCCGUGCCAGCAGCCGCGGUAAUACGGAGGAUCCGAGCGUUAUCCGGCUUUAUAGGGUUUAAAGGGAGCGUAGAGGGGUUGUUAAGUCAGUUGUGAAAGUUUUCGUCUCAACCGUAAAAUUGCAAUUGAUACUGGCAGUCUCGAGUACAGUUGAGGUAGGCGGAAUUCGUGGUGUAGCGGUGAAAUGCUUAGAUAUCACGAAGAACCCCGAUUGCGAAGGCAGCUUACUAAACUGUGACUGACAUUGAUGCUCGAAAGUGUGGGUAUCAAACAGGAUUAGAUACCCUAGUAGUC
rnacentral:rRNA from 1 species